rnacentral:lncRNA from 1 species
AACGCAAUCUGCCAUAUCCUGUCACCUUUUCUCAUUCUUCCUUUUGCCUCGAUAUAACUCAUCUCAUACCACAGGGAAGACGACGAUGUGUUGCCGAACCUGUGGAGUGUCAUCCUCGACGCUUCUACGUGUUCUGUCGAUAAUUGCAGGUUUUUCUGGAGCUCAUCGAUGACGGCGCGGCCACCGGCGUGGAUGCAGAAGUGGUCGAAGGCAAGCUUGAAGUCGGGAAUGUAAGGUUUCCAUUUAGGGUUGAAGAUUUUCCGGCCGAUGAGGGUGAGAAGGAAGAGAAGUUGUUCGGAUGCAGGGAGGACAAGAGGACCAAUGGUGGUGAUGUUUGAUUUAAGAGCUUCUCCUGCUAUGGCCAUCAGGUCUUUGGACAGUGAAAUACCCACUUUUCCUUCUCUGUCUUCUUCCUCGAACACGCAGCGGUAGGCUUUGUCGUCGGCUCCUUUGU